UUUUUUGCGUUCAAUUUAUUUCGUAUAAAUACUGAGCACGAUUCCACUUUCUUAUCAGUUAUUUUUUCAACUAUUUGGUAUCAUAAUUUGAAAGCUAAUUUUGAAAUAAAAAAUGGCUAAAGUAUUGCUGGCAAUUUUAGCAUUGACGCUUCUUAUGGGAAUUGUAGCGUGCUAUAAUGAGAA